AUUGAACGCUGGCGGCAUGCCUUACACAUGCAAGUCGAACGGCAGCGCGGGGGCAACCCUGGUGGCGAGUGGCGAACGGGUGAGUAACAUAUCGGAACAUACCCUAGAGUGGGGGAUAACGUAGCGAAAGUUACGCUAAUACCGCAUACGAUCUAAGGAUGAAAGUGGGGGAUCUUCGGACCUCAUGCUCAUGGAGUGGCCGAUAUCUGAUUAGCUAGUUGGUGAGGUAAAGGCUCACCAAGGCGACGAUCAGUAGCUGGUUUGAGAGAACGACCAGCCACACUGGAACUGAGACACGGUCCAGACUCCUACGGGAGGCAGCAGUGGGGAAUAUUGGACAAAUGGGCGAAAGCCUGAUCCAGCCAUGCCGCGUGAGUGAUGAAGGCCCUAGGGUUGUAAAGCUCUUUUGUGCGGGAAGAUAAUGAGGUACCGCAAGAACAAGCCCCGGCUAAC
rnacentral:rRNA from 1 species